AUUGAACGCUGGCGGCGUGCUUAACACAUGCAAGUCGAACGCGAAAGGGGCUUCGGCCCUGAGUAAAGUGGCGCACGGGUGAGUAACGCGUGGAUAAUCUGCCCUUAUGAUCGGGAUAACAGUUGGAAACGGCUGCUAAUACCGGAUACGCUCAAAAUGAACUUUUUGAGGAAAGAUGGCCUCUGCUUGCAUGCUAUCGCGUAAGGAUGAGUCCGCGUCCCAUUAGCUUGUUGGCGGGGUAACGGCCCACCAAGGCAACGAUGGGUAGCCGAUUUGAGAGGAUG
rnacentral:rRNA from 1 species